UACGAAGGGAGCUAGCGUUGUUCGGAAUCACUGGGCGUAAAGCGCACGUAGGCGGAUGUGUCAGUCAGGGGUGAAAUCCCGGAGCUCAACUUCGGAACUGCCUUUGAUACAGCACGUCUUGAGUCCGAUAGAGGUGGGUGGAAUUCCUAGUGUAGAGGUGAAAUUCGUAGAUAUUAGGAAGAACACCGGUGGCGAAGGCGGGCCCAGCUGGAUCGGUACUGACGGCUGAGGUGCGAAAGCGUGGGGAGCAAACAGGAUUGAAGAUACCCGGGUGUAAGUCCGAGACCAAG
rnacentral:rRNA from 1 species